UUCUUCCUAAUGAGCGAAGAAAACAGAAUUUAACCAAGUUGUAUUUUCUCACAAUCAUUCUCUUGUCAUGUACCAUGAUGAUACUGGCACGUUGACAUGAAAGCUGUUAUCCAGAUCCUGGGCUUUGGAAUUCAUCUGUGUGGAAAUUAUGACCUUAGCCUUUCAAACUGGAAUUUUGACAUUUGAAUGCUAGCCAAAAAUUUUUAAGUUUAUGUUGCUUAAAAGUAAUAUUUUUACAGAUUACUCAGUAACGUGUGUGGACAAUUGUGUAGCUAUCUGGAAAAAAGAACUAGGUUAUUCCUUACAUCAAAAAUUGGUAAUUUUGCUUGCCUCUGGGAAGGGAACUGGAGGAGGCCAGUGGUAGCGUGCGGAGAGACACGGUCACGUUCAGGCCUUGUUGUAGUGUAAGCUAACAUCACCUCUGUGUUGGGCAAUGUCCUAUCUUUCAAAAUUGUAAAAGUGUGUGUCCUUUCACCGACCAAUUCUAAAUCUGCUUAUCCUACACUUUACUCAUGUAAAAGGAUGUAUGUACAAGGAUCUUCAUUACAGAUUGAGUAGCAAAAGAUUAGAAGCACCCUGAAGGUCUGUCAGGAGAGACUGGUUAAAAACAUGAUGGGAUAUCCAUCAGUACCACAUUAUGCAGCCAUGAGAAUGAAUAAGGCAGUGCUUCAUACACGACAAGGACGAGCGCCAAGACGGAUGCUCAAGUGAAACAAAGAUGCAGAGUGUUGCAUACAUACAGUACAUGCAAGUAUAUACACAUACCGAGCAGCAGUGUUCUUGCGCACACGUGCACAAUGCAUCUCUGGAAGUGUACUUCCUUCUGGGGAGGAUAGGAGCAGUGGGUGGGGGAGGGAAGGAAGCUUAACUUUUUUCACUUUUUUGUACUUCAAAACAUGUGAAACAUGUCCUUGUAUAAUCUAUGCAAAAAAAGUUUUAAAUCAAUGUAUAAAGAGAAGUAACGUUUUUAUGAGUUGAUCUAAAAUGUAGCCAUAAAAAUGUUUCCAAAGAGACUGCUGGCUUAGAUUAAAUGAGUGAAAAGAUUGCAUUAUUAAAUUCCUUUAAAUUAUUAGCAUGUUAUUACUUUCAGUUACAUGUAGUAACUUGAGAAAAACCACAGGAAUUGUCACUGUAGUGUCUACUACAAUAGCCACUCAGCAUAUGUGGCUACUGGAAUAUGGCUAAUGUGACUGCAGCUUCAACUCAGGCACACUGAAGGAUUGAAUUUUUAAUUUUGUUUAAUUUGAAUUUGAAUAGACACAAAUGGCUACAGACUGUCAUAUUGAACAGCACAGAUAGGGGACAUGGAGAACAUUUCCAUGAUCACCAAAAGUUCUAUUGGACAGCACUCAUCUAGAAUUACCUUUCUUCAUAUAUUUAUUGUGAAUGAAGGGCUGCUUCUGAGAUCCCUGGAAGUAAUUUGUGAAUGAGAUUUCAGGCAGAAUGCUUUCACUACUAAAGAAAAUACUAAUUGUCUUAUUUGUCAGUUAUACUUAAUAAUGCUGAAACAAAAGAAAAAGAAAAGAAAAAGAAAAAACUACUUAAAGGAUCCUUCUUUCCACAUUGUAUAAGGGAAAAAUUGAGCCCUGUUCCCACUUGAAUUAUCAUAGAGUUGGAGUUGGUGGGGUCUGGGAUUAUUGGCUUUAAGCCCAAGAAUUGUUCUAUGAUAGGUAAUCAAUUUGGCUUUUUAGUACAAUCUUGUAGCGCCUGCAGUGGCCUCUGAGGGUCCCAAGAGAGCAAACAGCAUGUGAAUGAUGGGGUGUGUCUGCAGGAAUGUUCCAUAUGGGCAUUGUCCCAUUGUGAGGGCUUUUUCCUUACGCAUCUUGAGGAAAUCAUUCUCAAGAUUUUGAGUGUAUGUGUACAGAACAUAUCACAGAACUGGUUAUCAUCAAAAGAUUUUUAGAGAUUAUUUUGUCUAAUCCCUUCAUUUUUAGGUGAUAAGACUGAGACAGGACGAGGUGAAGCACCUUGCUCAGAAUCACUCACUGGUUAGUGGCAGAGUUGGAAUUAGAACUUGCUGCCUCCUAUUCCAGACAAGUCUUGAUAAAUGGUGCUUUAGAAAGGGAAAUUUUUGAAAUGUUGAAACGUUCUUAGUCAAACAUCUAAAAUAGCCUUGAUGUAUGAGAUAUAGCCUAUUUCACUGUCAUCCUUGUCUUUUUUAGGGAGGUGUGGGCUGAUACCUCUGAAUCACAGUUAUAUGUUUAGAUUCCUAGAGCCAGACACUGCUGGUUGCCUACCCAAUAGACCCCUGCCUGUCUUCUUCCAUGCCCUCUUUUCUCAUCCGCUUCCAAAGGGCCACAUCCUUUCUGGGAGCCUUGACCCCUCCCCAGGCUCUGAGGCUCUCUAGCCCUGGUGGUCUAGGGCACCUUGGGGCAUUUGACAAUUCUGUCCCUUGAGGCACAGCGGGAAGUCAGCUGGGAGUAGAUGCUGUUUCCUGGGAAGAUUUUCCUUGUUCUUAAAAACAGAUAUGAUAGUACUGUUCCCUUUUUUUCUGCCUCAGGGUGUUGAUGUGUAAAGGUGAUGCCUGGAGCUGCUACAGCCAUCUUGUGGCCUUGGGGAGUGGCUGAUGAGGUAGCUAAAAGUGCCAGAGUGGAAAGAUGGACUGAGUCUGGGUUCUCAAAGACAACCCUGAGGGCUGGAUUAAUUAGCUGGGGAUUAUCCUUUUCUGGAUUUCAGUCUGAGUUGUCGUUUCCAGGCCAAAUGUUUUGGAAAACAUCAAAAUCUGCGCUUACCACUUAUUACAAACAUCAGUUAAACCAGUGGGACCUCUCCACCGUGGGAACUUCUUUUAUUUCAGAACAACUACAUGGAGUUAUUUUCCCCAUCCUACCUGUAAGGAAGCUGAAACACCAAACUCCUUGACAAGUCAGCCAAGUGCUUUGCUCUCACAAAGAAUGCUGCAAUGAAUAUGCCUGUUCAUGUAAUUUCAUACCCGUGUAUGUAUUCCUAAACGUGGAAUUGCUGAGUCAAUUGAUCUUUCGAUGGAUGUUGCCAAGUCGUCUUUCUCUAGAGGUAACCUCGUUCUUUUUAACUGAAGGAUAUUCAACACCAAUAUUUAACCAACAUAACCAGUUAGAGAUGAGAUGGAACCGUAGCUCAGAAUGUGGGAGCCAACACUGCCUUCUGCCCAUGGUUGGGGAAGGACUUGACUCCUGCUGGGAGCUCAGUGGCAAGAGGGGGGGUAUGUUUGCUCUAGAUAAUCCCUGAGGAAACCAUCACUGGUCAAGAGCUUUAGUUUACAGAGUAGAUUUCUGUGCAUAAUCAAUCUCACUUAACCCUACUGAAUGAGGAAGGGCCAUGUUACUCAUUUUCAUCCCAUUCUACAGAUGAGAAAACUGAGGCUCGAAGGAGUCACACUCAAGUGACUGGCAUGACCAGGGUCUGAGACUCCAACUUUCAGGUGGUUUUCCACUGUGUCAACAGCUUUCCCCUUUUUCUCUGGGUCCCUUCCUCUGCCUCUCCAAUCCUUACCACCCCCUAUACACCAAAUCCUCCCCAGACAAUGCUGCCCUCAGGAUCACCCCCAAACGCAACUCCUCAGGUUCCAAUAAACCCAGGAAUAUGCAAUGAGAUUAGAAAUGGUUCCAAUUGGCCUGGAACACAUCCCUGAGGCUGUCUCAGUGGGAGAAUUUAUACCUUCUUAUUGCUCAGACAGGCUCAAGGACAGAUGUGAGGCCUGGACUCCUUCCUACCCAGCCCCUCAGCCCUCAGGGGCAGAAAAUUAGUUACUUACGUUUAGAGGAUAAAUAACUGGGAGGAAAAAGAUGCAUAAAUGAAUUCAUGUGUAGAAAAGCAAAAGACCUAGUUUAUAAAGGUGCCCACUCUUCAUCAAACCCAACGUAAAAACACUCAGGACUUUUUUCAGGUCUUCAUUUCCUUAUGCAGGCUCCUGUGUCACGUAAAACUUAAAUACAUUUGCAUGCUCUUCUCCUGUUCAUCUGUCUUUGUCAGUUUAAUUUUCAGAUCCAUCCAGGGACCUUAAGAGGGUCAGGAGAAUUCUUCCCUCCCCUACAGUCCCCUGGUAUUCACACACUUGUGUAAUUUUUGUUUCCCCUUGAACCGGGGCUAGACCUAGUGACUCACUUCUAAGGAAGAGAAUACAGCAGAAAUGAGGGGAGGUCACUUCCGGGGUCAGGUCACAGGAGGACUGAGUGCUUCCCAGGUCACUCACUUGCUCCGAGGAAAGGCAGCUGCCAUAUUGUGAGCCGUGCCACAGGGGGGCCCACAAGCUACGGAACCGAUGUCUCCCUCAAGAGCCAGCAAGGACCUGAGAUUGCCAACAGCCAUGUGAGUGAAUUUGGAAGUGGAUCUUCUCCCAGCCGAGUUUUGGGAUGACUGCAGCCCCAGGCAACUCCUAGAUUGCAGCCUCCUGAGAGACCCUGACCCAGAGGCCUGGAUGCCUGAGCCACAGAAACUCUGAGGGAGGCAGGAGACCACCAGGAGGAUGGAGGAUGGCCUUUGUCCAGGAGGCUGGACUGCCAACUUCAGAAGAUAAGCCAGGCCCCAGCCAGUGCAGCCACUGGGGGUCUGAGCCCACCACUCACCUUUGAGGAAGUCCCCUGCCUGCUUCCUACUCCUCAAGGCCCAGAUCCAGGCCUUAACUGGCAUUGAUGACAAAACUGGCGACCCAGUGAAUGAGCACAGGCUCCGGAUGCGCAGGCUCAGCGGCCAUGGCU